GCUGCCGUCGUCUAGCGGUCAGGACGCUCGAUUCUCAGUCGGGAAACGCCGGUUCGAGUCCGGCUGGCAGUU
rnacentral:tRNA from 1 species